rnacentral:lncRNA from 1 species
UUUAGGGACUUGGGUGUUCAUUUAGACAAAGAAAGGACACAGAGGAGGGGGUUCUGACAACGUGGCUUAUUCAGUUCCCGGCCGCCAUAGCUCAUAUUUUUCCACACCUGGAGGGAGCUGCCGGUGGAUGUGGAUGAGUCCCUGCCACUGUGAACCUUCCAGCCCAGCAGGUGGAGGAGACAAACCUGUGGUACAAUUUAGUGUAAGUGCUUUAGGUUUCCAGCCUUGGGGUGCAGUAGAACCCCAUGGAGAGAUCUUAAAACCCGGAGGAGGACCGCGCAGACCCUAAAAAAAAAACAAAAAACAAAAAAAGAAGAAAGAAAGUAGCUGCAAAGUUCAGCAGGGGCCAGAGGCCAGAUCAAGUUCUGUGUAAAUCAUAUCAAAUAGUUUCGACUGGAGUCUAAGAUGCAUGGGAAUUCACUACAGAAUGAUAUUUGUCCUGCUUGGGGGCUUGGAACAAGAUCAGUUCUUGAAGCAACGCCAGGAGGACGCAGCUAUUAUGUUCUGGAGUACAGAGCCUCCCAGUGUGCCUUCCCCGCCUUCCUGAUUCUCUUCCCUACCCCCCAUGGUAGCUAAAACUUUUUCUAGUCCCUUCCAAUGCCAAGGACUUUGCAUAUAUUUAAUCCUUAAAACCACCCUAUGAGGUAGGUGUGCUAUAAUUGCCCUCACUUACAAUCGAGGACCAAUAAGGACUUCUGGGCCAUCCUCUCUGCUUAUAACGCCCUUUCCUUUCCUCAUUUGUUUCUGUGCAAGGACCGCCCCUCAGCCAGGGGCCCGGCCAGCCUUGUUCUCUCACCAGGCUCUCCCAGAUCCCCGGUGGGAACACAUCUCUUUCAGCCCUAGCGUUCUGCAUUUGGCUCUGGCCUAGCCUGCUUUGUGUGCAAGGGCAGGCAUAGCCAUCUCUGUCAGCCACCAGCUGCAAAGACUUGGAGAGCAAAGGCCUGAUCAUCUUUAUUCCACCACUGCAUCCAGCACGAUGCCUGGCCUCGAGCCAAAUGGAAUGGGUGGUAUGGUCACAUUUCCAGGACAGAUGUUUCCCCUUAGCCCGUCGUCUGCCUGCAGAGGUUCCUUCAGGAAGGGGAGGAAGCUCUUGUCACUAUGGCCACAGACUUUGGCCAUCUCCCCACCACAGGACCACUGAGAACCCUGUGCCUUGAUACAGACUUAAAAUAAGACGCCUAAAUUGUGUGCUGAGCCCAGGUCCAUGGCGUUCUGAACGUGCCCAGUCUGGGUCUUGUUUUAUGACGUGGCACUGUCAUAAAAUGAUGUGGCGUCAGGAUGGGGACAGACUUUUGCCAUCACUUAGAGAUGCUGACAUGUGACUGGGAGAAGGAAAGCGGGAUCCAGGUAAGGCUUGAGUCUGUUCCAUUCUGUCUGUUAUUUUAUCCUCAUGUCCAAGAAAGAACAUAGCGUUUUGGUGUUUAGCAGCUUAACUGCUGAAACUAUGUGGCACCCGUGAGUGUUAGAGACAGAAUUGCUUUUCUGAUUUAUUCCAUCAAUGCAGUAAUCGUAGUACGUUAUAUAAUAAUUGGAAUAGUGCAGAGAUGGAAAUAAAACACAUUUUUACAUUAUUUUAGAGUAUCA